rnacentral:rRNA from 1 species
GAGAACGCUGGCGGCGUGCCUAACACAUGCAAGUCGAACGGGGUAAUUUCUUCGGAGAUACGUUAGUGGCGAACGGGUGAGUAACGCGUGAGAAACCUGCCUUUCAGUGGGGGACAACAGUUGGAAACGACUGCUAAUACCGCAUAAUGUUAUUUGGGGGCAUCCCUGAAUAACCAAAGAUUUAUUGCUGAAAGAUGGUCUCGCGUCUGAUUAGCUAGUUGGUGAGGUAACGGCUCACCAAGGCGACGAUCAGUAGCCGGUCUGAGAGGAUGAACGGCCACAUUGGGACUGAGAUACGGCCCAGACUCCUACGGGAGGCAGCAGUGGGGAAUAUUGGGCAAUGGGGGAAACCCUGACCCAGCAACGCCGCGUGAAGGAAGAAGGCCUUCGGGUUGUAAACUUCUUUUACCAGGGACGAACAAAUGACGGUACCUGGAGAAAAAGCAACGGCUAACUACGUG